GGGAAUGUGGCUUAGUGGUAGAGUGCUUGCCUAGCAUGCAUGAAGCCCUGAGUUCCAUUCCUU
rnacentral:tRNA from 1 species